rnacentral:rRNA from 1 species
AACGAACGCUGGCGGCGCGCCUAAUACAUGCAAGUCGAGCGAGAAGACGUAGCAAUACGUUUGUAAAGCGGCGAACGGGUGAGGAAUGCAUGGGUAACCUACCCUCGAGUGGGGAAUAACUAGCCGAAAGGUUAGCUAAUACCGCGUACGCUCCUUGGACUUCGGUUCAGGGAGGAAAGCGAUACCGUGGGUAUCGCGCUCUUGGAUGGGCUCAUGUCCUAUCAGCUUGUUGGNGAGGUAACGGCUCACCAAGGCUUCGACGGGUAGCUGGUCUGAGAGGACGAUCAGCCACACUGGCACUGCGACACGGGCCAGACUCCUACGGGAGGCAGCAGUAAGGAAUAUUGCGCAAUGGGCGAAAGCCUGACGCAGCGACGCCGC